rnacentral:lncRNA from 1 species
AACAAAUCAUGAUGCAUAAUUUGACAUCUUGGUGAUAAAUUGAAAAAAAAGACCAUCUUUUUGGAAAUGAAUUCAACAUUUUCGAAAAAACAGACCAUCUUAUGUUUAAUAAAUAUAACAAUUCUCACGCAAAUACCAUGUUAUGUAGUGAAGAGUGAAGAUUAAUUGCUUUGUGGUUUACUAUUUGAAUGAUUCCGGUAGAUAAACAUGCGCAGGCCUGACAUAUAUAUGUCACUACUGAUGUUAGAGGAAUUCACCUUGGGAAAUGUAGCAAUCUGAGUCUCUGAUCACUUCCAAUGGUGCAUAGUUAAGACUGAAUUGCCACUAGUUUUUGGGACCAGGAGAAGGGUCCCUUCAUUGCCCUACAAUUGAAAGUGAACACAGUAUUAUAUGCGUUCUUAUUGUACUCGGAUUCCAAAGUCCAAACUGCAGCCUCCAAGUCUAAUGUCCUUUUGUUCAUACGAACCCAAGAUCAUAGUAUAAUAGUACAUGUAUGAUCUAAGCUUCCAGCUCUGCCUAUCAGUCAAGUGUAAAUAUUAGAUGCAUGUCCUUUUGGAUUGGGAGGUUUUGGAAUAUGGUCCCCCUCCUUUGUAUUCUUUUUUCUUUUAACAUGAAGGAGUGAUUGAAAAUUAGAAAUCAAGGACUCUCCUCUUCUAUGAUUUGAUUGAGUUCUAUCUCCCUCAUCAGUCAUUACCCUAAAAAUAAAAAUAGUUUAGCCCCAUCCUCUGAAUUGGUCAUUGAUCUCAGAUUAGGAUGUGUUAGACAACUUGAAAAUGGAACUGUUUAUUUUAUAUAAUUGUCAAUUCAAGAACUAUGCAUGCAAUAUAAAUAAAACUAUCUAGCAAAGAAGAAAUCAUUCAUCAGAAAAUGGGUUCAGACUCUCAUUACCAGAUUCCAGCCAUAGAAUUCUCAACCUGUUCAGCUAAAUUGGACCGCGGAACUGAAAAGUGGUUCGGUUUGUGCAAGAGGGUUAGAUAGGCUCGUGAAAACUAUGGUUUUUUUGAAGUAGUAUAUGAUAAAAUACCUGUGGAGUUUAGAGCAGAAGUCCUCUCUGUGACGAGGCAAUUUUAUGGCCUUCCACUUGAGACAGAGAAAAAAAAUGUCAAUCCAAAGUCUCACCAUGGUUAAUAUGGACAGUUCCCCAGGCUCCUUAAUUUGUACGAGAGCUUUGCCAUUGAAGAUGCCUCCAACUAUGAAUCCCUUACGAGCUUCACACAACAAAUGUGGCUUGAUGGUCAUGAUCAG